GUGGUGCCACGCCCGAAUGAUCUCCUAUGGAGGUAUUCGGGGCAAUGUUGGUUGGACGAGCUGGCCACAUUGUGUGGGAAGGGGAUAUCUCGAGGUUUUAUCCUUGAGGGGUUUGUCUAGACUACUCUAUGCGUUCUUGAUCUCUGUAGUGGAGCGAAGAGGCGAUAGAGGGCUAGUCGGGCAAGGGUGUGACCUACCCAAACAGGCAAGUCUUGUGAGCAUCACAAGGUGAUGUCUCACAGGGAUCCAUGGGAACCGGUCGGUCGUGGAGAACAAGGCAGGCUUAUGAUAUAUCGGUCGG
rnacentral:lncRNA from 1 species